rnacentral:rRNA from 1 species
ACGAACGCUGGCGGCGUGCUUAACACAUGCCAGUCGCACGGAAAGGCCCUGCUUUUGUGGGGUGCUCGAGUGGCGAACGGGUGAGUAACACGUGAGUAACCUGCCCUUGACUUUGGGAUAACUUCAGGAAACUGGGGCUAAUACUGGAUAGGAGCUCCUGCUGCAUGGUGGGGGUUGGAAAGUUUCGGCGGUUGGGGAUGGACUCGCGGCUUAUCAGCUUGUUGGUGGGGUAGUGGCUUACCAAGGCUUUGACGGGUAGCCGGCCUGAGAGGGUGACCGGCCACAUUGGGACUGAGAUACGGCCCAGACUCCUACGGGAGGCAGCAGUGGGGAAUAUUGCACAAUGGGCGGAAGCCUGAUGCAGCAACGCCGCGUGCGGGAUGACGGCCUUCGGGUUGUAAACCGCUUUCGCCUGUGACGAAGCGUGAGUGACGGUAAUGGGUAAAGAAGCACCGGCUAACUACGUG